rnacentral:ncRNA from 1 species
ACCAAGGAGUUUAACAUGUGCGCGAGUCAUUGGGCUUUAGGAAACCCAAAGGCGCAGUGAGGGUAAAGGUUUGGCUGAGGUGAGAUCCUGUUGUUUUGCUCAUUAAUUCCAAGCUGCGAGCAACAGGCGCAUCACCGGCCAGUCCCAUGACGUAGACAUGUGGCCUUUUGCUAUGUGCACCGUCGGGACGGAGCAAGAGCGUACAUGUUGAGACCAAAAAGAUGGUGAACUAUGCUUGCGAAGCUUGAAGCCAGAAGAAACUCUGGUGGAGGACUGUAGCGAUUGACGCGCAAAUCGGUCGUAUAACGUGGGUAUAGGGGGCGAAAGACUAAUCAAACCAUCCAGUAGCUAGUUCCCUCCAAAGUCUCCCUAAUGAUAGCUGGCAUUCUGAGAUAUAAACAGUUUUAUCAUGUAAAGGGUUUGUGUGCGUU